rnacentral:lncRNA from 1 species
GGCAGGGACACGGACAGGGCAGGGAUGCGGGGCAAGACAGGGAGGGGGCAGGGAUACGAGGCAGGACAAGGAGGGGGCAGGGACUCAGGGCAGGACAGGGCAGGGGCAGAGGCAGGACAGGGACGGUGCAGCCUCCGCUGCUGCCCUCUCGGGGAGCCUGGCUCCCACCCUCACCCAGCCACUGCUCCUGGGCACAGAGCUGAAGGGGAACUGGAGGCUGCGGCGUUCCUCUCUCCGUCCCCCUCUCUCUGGUGACUCAUGUGAUAACGAACCGACCUUUUGGAGACAUUCUGUGCCCUCAACAAAAGCGGCCCCUGUCUGGAAACCCCCCCGAGGAGACUGACUUCCUCCCCUGCUGCCUGGGCUGCGGUAGCUCUUCCGGCACCUGCUCUUCAGGCACCUGCCCUGUGCUGGCCCCUCCUGCAACAAUCGGGAGCCCUCACCUCAGUCGGCGCUGCAGAACCAGCCCAGGAGAGCAGCUGGCCUGUCAUCUGCUGAGGAGCGGAGGCGUGCGGGGAUCCGGAGGGGAAGGGGGUCUGGAGUGCUCCGGGGGAGACCCUCAGGGACUGCCCUGCUGCUGGCAGCGCCUGGGCCCACGGCUGAUGGAGGCGUCUCCUGGCCCCCAGGGCUGUGCCCAGGACUGCAAUGGCCUCCCACACUACCUCACUACCCUGGUCCAGGCUCACUGACAGAUGAGGAAACUGAGGCAGGGGCCCUGGUCUCACGGCCAUUGGUGCAGAGCUGGGAUCCACGACCAGAUUCUACCAAUUAAAAAAAGGAAAUGUGGGCCGGGCG